AACGUAGGUUCCGAGCGUUAUCCGGAUUUACUGGGCGUAAAGCGCGUUCAGGCGGUUUGGCAAGUCGGGCAUGAAAUCUCUCGGCUCAACCGGGAGAGGUUGUCCGAUACUGCUGGACUUGAGGGCAGUAGAGGGUGGUGGAAUUCCGGGUGUAGUGGUGAAAUGCGUAGAGAUGUGGAGGAACACCAGUGGCGAAGGCGACUCUCUGGUCUGUAACUGACGCUGAGGCGCGAAAGCGUGGGGAGCAAACAGG
rnacentral:rRNA from 1 species